UACGUAGGGGGCGAGCGUUGUCCGGAAUCAUUGGGCGUAAAGCGCGUGUAGGCGGCCCGAUAAGUCCGCUGUGAAAGUCCAGGGCUCAACCCUGGGAUGCCGGUGGAUACUGUCGGGCUCGAGUCCGGAAGAGGCGAGUGGAAUUCCUGGAUGUAGCGGUGAAAUGACGCAGAUAUCAGGAGGAACACCAAUGGCGAAGGCAGCUCGCUGGGACGUGACUGACGCUGAGACGCGAAAGCGUGGGGAGCAAACAGG
rnacentral:rRNA from 1 species